AUACGUAGGUGACAAGCGUUAUCCGGAUUUACUGGGCGUAAAGGGCGUGUAGGCGGUCUUGCAAGUCAGAAGUGAAAUUCCUGAGCUCAACUCGGGCGCUGCUUCUGAAACUGCAGGACUUGAGUGCUGGAGGGGAUAGCGGAAUUCCUAGUGGAGCGGUAAAAUGCGCAGAUAUUAGGAAGAACACCGGUGGCGAAGGCGGCUAUCUGGACAGUAACUGACGCUGAGGCGCGAAAGCGUGGGGAGCAAACAGGAUUAGAUACCCUGGUAGUCCACGCCGUAAGCGAUGAAUACUAGGUGUAGGGGGUAUCGACUCCCUCUGUGCCGCAGUUAACACAAUAAGUAUUCCGCCUGGGGAGUACGGCCGCAAGGUUGAAACUCAAAUGAAUUGACGGGG
rnacentral:rRNA from 1 species